rnacentral:rRNA from 1 species
AUUGAACGCUGGCGGCAGGCUUAACACAUGCAAGUCGAGCGGGCGAGGUUGCUUCGGUAACUGAGCUAGCGGCGGACGGGUGAGUAAUGCUUAGGAAUCUGCCUAUUAGUGGGGGACAACAUUCCGAAAGGGAUGCUAAUACCGCAUACGCCCUACGGGGGAAAGCAGGGGAUCUUCGGACCUUGCGCUAAUAGAUGAGCCUAAGUCGGAUUAGCUAGUUGGUGGGGUAAAGGCCUACCAAGGCGACGAUCUGUAGCGGGUCUGAGAGGAUGAUCCGCCACACUGGGACUGAGACACGGCCCAGACUCCUACGGGAGGCAGCAGUGGGGAAUAUUGGACAAUGGGGGGAACCCUGAUCCAGCCAUGCCGCGUGUGUGAAGAAGGCCUUUUGGUUGUAAAGCACUUUAAGCGAGGAGGAGGCGCUCUAGGUUAAUACCCUAGAUGCGUGGACGUAUUCGCAGAUAAGCCC